rnacentral:rRNA from 1 species
AAAGGCUUGGUCCUGACUUUACUGUCAACUUUAGCUAGACUUACACAUGCAAGUAUCCGCGACCCUGUGAGAAUGCCCCACAGUUUUCCGCCCGAAAACAAGGAGCCGGUAUCAGGCACACCCAACUAAUAAGCCCAUGACGCCUUGCUUAGCCACACCCUCAAGGGAACUCAGCAGUGAUAAACCUUAAGCUAUAAGUGCAAACUUGACUUAGUUAAAGCUAAGAGGGCCGGUAAAACUCGUGCCAGCCACCGCGGUUAUACGAGAGGCCCAAGUUGACAGACAUCGGCGUAAAGCGUGGUUAAGGAAAAUUUAAACUAAAGCCGAACACCUUCAGGGCAGUUAUACGCAUCCGAAGGCACGAAGCCCCACCACGAAAGUGGCUUUAUGACUCCUGACCCCACGAAAGCUAUGAC